rnacentral:tRNA from 1 species
GCCAGCGUAGCUCAAUGGUAGAGCGUCAGGCUUUUAACCUGAAUGUUG